AGGACGACGCUGGCGGCGUGCCUAACACAUGCAAGUCGAACGGGUUAUACCGAUUAAUCUUCGGAAGCGUUGAUAUAACUUAGUGGCGGACGGGUGAGUAACACGUGAGCAACCUGCCUUUCAGAGGGGGAUACCGUUUGGAAACGAACGUUAAUACCGCAUAACGUAUCGGUACCGCAUGAUACUGAUACCAAAGGAGCGAUCCGCUGAAAGAUGGGCUCGCGGCUGAUUAGAUAGUUGGUGGGGUAACGGCCUACCAAGUCAACGAUCAGUAGCCGGACUGAGAGGUUGAACGGCCACAUUGGGACUGAGACACGGCCCAGACUCCUACGGGAGGCAGCAGUGGGGAGUAUUGCGCAAUGGGGGCAACCCUGACGCAGCAACGCCGCGUGUGGGAAGAAGGUCUUCGGAUUGUAAACCAUUGUCUUCGGUGACGAUAAUGACGGUAGCCGAGGAGGAAGCUCCGGCUAACUACGUGCCAGCAGCCGC
rnacentral:rRNA from 1 species